AAAACAUGUAUAUUAUAUUUAUCCACCUGUCAUCAUUUUCAGAAAUCUUUAUUAUUUCUUUAGAUUCAAAUUUUCAUCUGGUAGCAUACUCUUUCUGUGUGAAAGAUUUAACUUCAAUAUUUCUUGCAGUGUUGAUAUCCUGUUGAUAAAGUUUUUCAGCUUUCAUAUGUCCAAAACACUCUUUAUUUCACCUGCAUUUUUGAAAGAUACUUUUGAUGGCUAUUGAAGCCUUGGUAGAUAGCUUUGAUUUUAUUCACUUUUGUUUUCAAUACUGUGAAGUUGAUGCUCUGUUUUCCACUGGCUUGGAUCAUUUUUUGAUGAGAAAUCUGCUAUCAUUCUUAUUUUUGUUCCUUGUUAUAUGAUGUGUAUUUUUUUUUCCUUUGCUUUAAAUACUUUCUCUUCACUGCCGAUGGUCAGCAUUUUGAUAAUGCUGCAACUUGGUGUGGUGUUCUUCAUAUUUCUUCUGCUUGGGGUUGAUUGAGUUUCUUGUAUCUGUGGGUUUAUAACUUUUGUCAAAAUUGAAAUUUUGUCUACAAUUUCUUUAAAUAUUUUUGUAUUCUCUCUUCUUUUCCUCUCUUCUGGGAUUCCAGCUGUGAAGUGAUGAGCCACUUGACAUUAUUCCACAGCUCACUGAUUUUUUUUUUUUUUUUUUAUUGAGAUGGAGUUUCACUCUGUCACUCAGGCUGGAGUGCAGUGGCACCAUCUUGGCUCACUGCAACCUCUGCUGCCCAGGUUCAAGCGAUUCUCAUGCCUCAGCUUCCCGAGUAGCUGGGAUUACAGGUGCCUGUCACCACAUCUGGCUAAUUUUCUUGUAUUUUUAUUAGAGAUGGGUUUUCGCCAUGUUGGCCAGGCUGUUCUCGAACUUCUAACCUCAGGUCAUCCACCCUUCUCGGCCUCCCCAAGUGCUGGGAUUACAGGCAUGAGCCACUGCAUCCGGCCUGAUGUUCAUUUCUUAGACUUUUUUUCUGUGUGUGUGUGUGUGUGUGUGUGUGUGUGUGUGUGUGUGUUUAACUUAGCUGGUUCCUAUUGCUAUGUGUUCCAGUUCUAAAUUUUUCCUGCAAUAUCUAAUUUGCUAUUAAUGUCAUUCAGCAUAUUUUUCUGAGAUAUUUUAUUUUCAAUGUCUAGAAAUUUGUUUUGAGCUUAUUUAUAUCUUGCAUUUAUUUCUACAUGAUUUUCAUACUCUCCUCUCCCUUCUUGAACAUGUCAACUUUAUUUAUAGUAGCUCUUUUAAUAUUU
rnacentral:lncRNA from 1 species